GCACGCCUGUCGGGACCCGAAAGAUGGUGAACUAUGCCUGAGCGGGGCGAAGCCAGAGGAAACUCUGGUGGAGGCUCGAAGCUGUACUGACGUGCAAAUCGUUCGUCUGACUUGGGUAUAGGGGCGAAAGACUAAUCGAACCAUCUAGUAGCUGGUUCCCUCCGAAGUUUCCCUCAGGAUAGCUGGAGCCCAUUACGAGUUCUAUCAGG
rnacentral:ncRNA from 1 species